rnacentral:rRNA from 1 species
UACGUAGGGGGCAAGCGUUGUCCGGAAUUAUUGGGCAUAAAGAGCGUGUAGGCGGUCCGGUAAGUCAGCUGUGAAAGUCAAGGGCUCAACCCUUGAAUGCCGGUUGAUACUGUCGGGCUAGAGUCCGGAAGAGGCGAGUGGAAUCCUGGUGUAGCGGUGAAAUGCGCAGAUAAUCAGGAGGAACACCUAUUGCGAAGGCAGACUCGCUGGGAC